CUCUUUUUAGAUGAAUGGCCACUUGCCAAGGGGGUGUCCCACAUGGGCAAGACGCUGGAGAAGCCCUUGUCCCACAUGUCCUGCUUCCUUGGUGUGGUGUUUUGGGACCUUGGGGGAUACUGGGGCUCUGUCCCUGCCCUGUUGUGCUGAGGAGCCAGUUGUGCACAGCAGGAGCUAGACCUGCUGCCAUCUGGUUGGAUGCACCUGCGCUAAUAAUAGAGCGGUGGAAGGAGCCUGGGUCCCCUAGAGGAUCACGUCCCACGGCUGCACCACGGCUGCCCUCCUCUCCCAGCUCUGGUGUGGGCAUUCCAACUUCCCCACCCUGGGAUGUGAACCAUCU
rnacentral:lncRNA from 1 species